CUAAUAGUAUGGUGGGUGCCAAGGAUGUUGCAGCUAAUGUGGAAACACUAGACAAGGUAUUAGUCGCAGAAAAUGAAAAAGGUAAGAAAGAAGUUGAAACUAUUGCUCUGGACCGAGGUGUAAUGAUAGAAGCAGUUUAAUUGACUGAUUUUUGCUUGUUAUCUUCUCACUUUAAGCAAUACUUGGACUUGCAUCACCA
rnacentral:lncRNA from 1 species